GUAGGGGGCAAACGUUUGCUCGGAAUUACUGGGCGUAAAGGGUGUGUAGGCGGCUGAGCAAGUCAAGGAUGAAAUCCCGGGGCUCAACUCCGGAAUGGUCCUUGAAACUGUUCAGCUUGAGGAUGGUUGAGGAGAGCGGAAUUCCCGGUGGAGCGGUGAAAUGCGUAGAUAUCGGGAGGAACACCAGAGGCGAAGGCGGCUCUCUGAGCCAUUCCUGACGCUGAGACACGAAAGCUAGGGGAGCAAACGGGGGAUUAGAUACCCCGGUAGUCCUAGCUGUAAACGAUGGGCACUAGAUGUUUCUGCUUUAAGCGGGAGUGUCGAAGUUAACGCGAUAAGUGCCCCGCCUGGGGGAGUACGGUCGCAAGGCUG
rnacentral:rRNA from 1 species